GGGCCCCCACACUCACACAGGCCAUGGCUGAGGGCAGGAGGUGAUCCUGGGAUGGCUACACCAGCUGUCUGAAGACUCCACUGAGAGGAGAGACGGUCCCGGGCGGUGCCCACUCUUUUAACCGGACCAGACCCUGAUAUUUUACUGAGCAACCCCUGUGAGCCUUGGCCCUGCGCUGACCUUGGAGGAUUCAAGAUGAGCCCCUCCCAGUCCCUGCCACCGGAGCCGCUCUUGCAGAAUCCAACUGUAAAUGUAAUUAAGAAGCAGCAUGGUUUAGGGGGCAUUGAGUUUAUGUUAACAGUGCUGGAAUGAUUUGGAAAAGGAGGAUGAGAAGGGUUGCACAACUUGAAGAAUGUAAUCAGUGUCACUGAAUUGCACAUGUAGAAAUUGUUGAGAUGGAGUAUGUUUUGUUAUGUAUAUUUUCACCACGAUUUACAAAAAGAAGUUAAAAGAAGCAGUAUGACCGCUACACGGGAGGUCAGGAACCAGCACUGUGGGGCAUGGAGACUGUCCAGACGUGAAGAAGGUGGGUCUUGAAGAAUGGGUGAAGGAGGCGGCAUUCCAGCGAGGGGAAAGGCUCGGAGACGUUUAAAAUUAACCUAAGUUCCUCUUGGGGAGGGAGAACAAGUGAAAAUCUGAAGGCGAGAUGACUGAACAAAGGAACUGUCUUGUGACUGAAACCAGGAUGGUGUCAGAGAAACUUCAAGAAUACCCGCCGUAGGUCAACAUGUCUGGAAUGAAGUCAUCGUGCCCACCUCAAAGGGGAAGAAACAUUCCACAGAUUCUCUGGACCCUGACCUUGUCCCAGUAAAAUCCUCUGAUUGGCCUCCACAGAGGGAGGCAGAUUUUGGAGGAGCUCAUUCCCCUCUGUCUCCUGUAUAUUGAUAUACAAUAAAACACUCUUGCUGCUCACCUCACCUGUCUCAGUAUUGGUUUUCGCGGCAGGCGGCUUAGCCUGGUUUCUGUGGUAACAACACUUGUUUCAUAUAACAAGAGGACUGGAAGUAGGUUGUUUCUAUGGCAGGUUAGUUCUGGGGCUCAAAUUAAUCAUCAAAGGUCUGGGUUCUUGUGUGAUUGUUAUAAAAAUGAACCAAAAAUGGCUCUGUGUAUUGGCCCCAGGCUGUUUAUUUCUUCUUAACAGGUCCAUUAGCCCCAAACCCCACCUGUGCCAAACUCAAAUUUAUACAUAACCAAUUGUUGUAAAAAUAACCCAAAUAAGCAGAUUUUCAGCCUCUUAGAGGUGACCUCCUUGACAUAUCCAUGUAACGGCACCUUAUAUCUGCUACCCAUAGAUAACAUAAAACCCUGUAGUUAUAAGGACCCUAAGGUGCUGUGGCCUUCAGAGGUCUCUGACCCAGAGACUGCCCACCUUGCUGCAGCUUUCCCCACCCCAUUCUUUUCCUGGGAGUUUCAGGCCCUUUUCCCUUUUUGAUGGCUCUCUGUGCCUCUUGUGCCCCUCCUGCUAUGGGGAACUGUCAACGCCUCAGUCCCAUUGAAUAGCUUUGUGGUGUGAUGGAUCACUUUUGCACAGCCUUUCUCACCAUGGUCUCGUAACUUCCACCCAAGGAUUGGGUGGGACUGUGCAAAUAGGUAAUUGUGGCCCAUCAAGGGGGAUUGGUCAGUUUUGACAUCCCGCUGGGCUUGAAAUGAGCCACCCCAUUGGUGGGAGCGAGAGGAUCCCACCGCCACCAAAGAAGAACAUCCAGGAGGGGAGAGUGCAUCCUUUAGACCUGGGAUCCCCGUGCUGAGAAGCUCCUGGAACCAGGAAACUGAGGGAGUGACCUGUAACCCUGAAGAUGGAGAGAAGCCGUGGCAGGAGAGACCAGCAGGAGACUGUGCAAUGGGCUUCCCCACCCACGGAUGGAGAACGAUGAGUGCCUUGGGUGCUUCUGGGAACUUAUUGGCUGGGGCCAAAAGAGCUUUGUAACACUUGCCUCAGCAGGGCAGAGGCCUAGGGCCAGAGAGAGGUGUGCCUGAGAGCACAGCUGAAAAGAGGCUAUUCUGAUGGAAGAACUGUA